rnacentral:sRNA from 1 species
ACCAGGCGCGGUGGCGCACGCCUGUCAUCCCAGCAGCUCUGGAGGCUGAGGCAGGAGGAUCGUGAGUUCAAAGCCAGCCUCAGCAAUGGCGAGGCACUAAGCAACUCAGUGAGACCCUGUCUCUA